UACGUAGGGUCCGAGCGUUGUCCGGAAUUACUGGGCGUAAAGAGCUCGUAGGUGGUUUGUCGCGUUGUUCGUGAAAACUCACAGCUCAACUGUGGGCGUGCGGGCGAUACGGGCAGACUUGAGUACUGCAGGGGAGACUGGAAUUCCUGGUGUAGCGGUGGAAUGCGCAGAUAUCAGGAGGAACACCGGUGGCGAAGGCGGGUCUCUGGGCAGGAACUGACGUUGAGGAGCGAAAGCGUGGGGAGCGAACAGG
rnacentral:rRNA from 1 species